UUCCAUUUUUCUUCUUUGUACUUGGUCAUAUUCUUUUCAAGUAUUACCAAUAAGAAUUUAAAGUAAAGUUAUAAAAUGCAGUUUCAAGUAGAUCGCUCAAGGAGGGGAAAAAUACUGCAGAUGCCUCCUUUAUGCUCUGAACUCUGAGUAUCAGCCUUUGCACUCUGUGGCACACUUCUUCCUCUCCCAAUGUCAGAUGCACAUCUAACCCCACCCACAGCACUGGAAUGUGAAUGCUCUCCUUUCUGUCCCAGAAAUCCACUGGGCUCAGUCAAAUAAUCAUCACGUCACUGCUUUGCCUGGUGUUGCUGGGCUGGGGCACCCACUGACUAUGUCCACAGUCAAGCCCUUCUUCCCUGCACUAACGGAAGGCCCAUGUGGCAGAGCCAGGAUUUCUGGCCACCAGGCUUACCUCUCCUCUACUGGGAGCAAGUCUUGGAGCCUGCCGCAUCCAGAACCAGGCUCUUUGGAGCUGAAGAUGAAUUGCCAUGUGCUGGUGCUAAUAGAAGUCCUGGAGAAAUACGCAGAUGAAGCAACUCAAAUGGCCUCAAUGAAGGAAGUUAUUUCUUAAAAAGCUUCUGAAAGAAGAGAGGAAAGAUUAUAAAGUAUUUCUCACAUUCAAAUGAAACAAGAUCGACAAACUUGCUUCUCAAGUCACAUGUCUGCAUGUUAUUUAUUACAUUUGGGUCUGAAAUAUCCCACCUGUUUAAAAGAUUUUCAAGUGUGCUCAGUGGAAAAGUGGGUAUAGUAGCUGCAUACUCUCCUACCUCACAGAAUUGUUGUGAAGAUCACAGAUCCAUCUGAUACUAUUGUUCCUUUCUCAGGGACAGAGGAAGGCCAGCCAUGGAUUUUGUCUGUGCCACCUUCCUAUCUCACCUUCUUACAGACAGGAUCUUGUCAACAGGGCCUUUUUUUCUUAUGGCCUCGCUG
rnacentral:lncRNA from 1 species